rnacentral:rRNA from 1 species
AUUGAACGCUGGCGGCAGGCCUAACACAUGCAAGUCGAGCGCGCGGCGGACGGGUGAGUAAUGUAUGGGGACUGCCCGAAAGAGGGGGAUAACUAUUGGAGACAGUACCGAAUACCCCAUACGAUCUGAGACCCCAUAUGGGAUUAGCUGGUAGGUGAGGUAAUGGCUCACCUAGGCGACGAUCCCUAGCGGGUCUGAGAGGAUGAUCAGCCACACUGGGACUGAGACACGGCCCAGACUCCUACGGAGGCAGCAGUGGGGAAUAUUGCACAAUGGGCGCAAGCCUGAUGCAGCCAUGCCGCGUGUAUGAAGAAGGCCCUAGGGUUGUAAAGGACUUUCAGGCGGGAGGCGGUACCGACAGAAGAAGCACCGGCUAACUCCGUGCCAGCAGCCGCGGUAAUUC